AAACGCUUGAAGUCUAGUCGCGUCGGUUGGAAAUCAGUCUCGCUUCUGCUUGAUGUACUUUCUAAUCGACGGGUCAGCAUCAGGUUUGACCGUUGGAUAAAGGUUGGGGGAAUGUGGCAUCCUCGGAUGUGUUAUAGCCUCUGAUUGCAUACAACGGUUGGGACUGAGGACCUCAGAACGCCGCAAGGCCGGGUACUCGUACCCCGUUCGUGCUUAGGAUGCUGGCAUAAUAGCUUUAAUCGA
rnacentral:rRNA from 1 species